rnacentral:lncRNA from 1 species
GGAAGAUUGAAAAAAUUCAGAGGAUAAGGUUAGGGGAGAAUAUAGUUUUAGGGAGGGAGGUUUUUUUUUUCAGGGGGGAAUCGGGGGGGAGCUAGUUUUCAAGCUUUUGCAAGGUUACCAGUUCGGUUUUAUUGGAAGGUUUUGAAGAUCAAGGGAAUUAGAGAGAGGAGCUUCAUGCUUCGGGUCGGGGAAGGAAAGACAUAGAAAUUGGAUUUUUCUUC